AGGAUUAGAUCUGAAUAGACUAUUUGUUUAUUGGAUUCUAGAACAUUCUUACAGUAUCCAUUCACGAUAGUUCAGCUAUUAGGGGUGAAGUCAGGAUGGUGGUCCCUUUUUUAUGACAUCAGAGAGCCACUGAUAAGGAGACUUCAGGUCAGACUCCCAAGGAGGUUCUGCUUUGAUGAAGCCACAGCAGGAACCUAAGAGUCCAUUCAAGGGCUCCUGGCUGUCUCCUGGAGGCCUCAGCUGAGAUUUAUCCCUCUGAUUUCUGCAGGCACCCUAGGCUCCAUGUGUCUUCUCACCUCCACGGUGUUGAAUCUGAGAAGGCACAGCCUGGAGCCACCUCGCCAGUCUAUUUCCUUCAGUGGACAAAAGUAAUAAGGUUUACAAAGAAGACUGCGCACUGUCUGGCCUGAAUCCCCCGGCCAGGCAGGAACAGUGCUCUGGACCACGUGGAGGCUAGCUUGCUUAUAUAAUGGGAACAAUCAAUCUACGCCUCCUGUCAAAGAAGACGCUAACAUUGUUCUGUGGAGUCCGGAUGCUUCCUGAACCUCCAUCGGAGGUCAAAGGGCUCCAGAGCAGAAAGGCAGAUGGAUGGCAACGUCGCUUCUGUCUUACAAGUGGAGAAACUAUAACAGGGACUUAAAAUGAGUCACAGUGGUCAAAUACCGUGAUGGUUCACAUGUGUGUGAGUGCCUUGGAACUCCUUCCAAACUUGAAUAUAAUUAUCCUGCUGUCCUGUUUGAGCCAGCUGUAGACCAGAUUCUAAAGAACACCGUGUUGUCUGAGUGAUGUUGUUCAACUAGGCUGCUGUUCAAGACAUUUAUUUCCUUAUUUUAAUUGGUUCUCCCUCAGAUUUCUCCCUCUCAGGAAUGCAUAUGGCUUUGAAGUGCUACAGCCAAGUCAUCAGUGCACAGGUUGGCUUGUUUUGGGUUUUGGUUUGUUUGUUUGUUUUUUAACUUUUUAUUGACUCUUUGUGAGUUUCACACCAUGUAUCCCAGUUCCACUCAUCUCCCCAUCUCCUCAUUUCCGUCCUAAAGCUUGCAAUCUCGCUUGCAAAAUAAAACACACACACACACACACACACACACACAC
rnacentral:lncRNA from 1 species